CUGAGGCGGAGAAAACUGGAGAAUUUGCUGAUAAAGGUGAAGAGGAAAGGUGACGGUAAUACCGGUUGAGGUCAUGAAUCAGGAAUGAAUGUUACAAUAGAUUCUGAAAUAGAAAAUAAAAGAUUUAUGCCAUAAUCUCUCACUCCAGGCAAAGCGCUCUAGGCAUCUCUGGUGCCACUUCAUCUCUCGGAGUAGUUCAAUAAACCAUGGCACUCUGCAAGAUCCACGUGCACAGAGUCCACACAGACAAAAUUGGUUCAGCAUCCCAUUGCCUUUUCAUUCCAAGGAAUAAUGAGAGCAUCAACCAAAUUUGUGUCAGAGCUUUGUGAAAAACCUCAAGUUUCCUCAGAAACCACAAUAACUUCAUCAGGUUAUUGAGUUUUCUCAGUAAAGAAGUGAGUUGUGUUACAUCCAGUAGCUGCAAAGCUAGACAAAAAAGAAAGCUAAAGAAGGAAAUAAUUACUCUGCUGAAAGAUGUUGGAAGUAAAUCUUUUUCAAGACUCGCAGAGGGUCAGGGAUGCCCCUUGCUUGAACCAGUUGAUGUGACCCUGGCCAGUCAUGGGAAGAGGCUGUUACAUAAAGCUAUUGGCAGUCAGGACAACAUGUGGCAGCAAUUCAUGAUCCUGAGGCAUUCAGAUUAUACACACAGAUAGUAUUCUUGUUUCUCAUGAGUUGAGAUUGUAAACUGAAAAACAAUCCAUUCUAGCCUAACUCUUCUAAAAGUUUUACCUAUGUUGUCUUUCAUUCCAUCCCAGAUAUAAUACCGUCUUCUGAAUUCUGGGACAGUUCUUACAUUAAGUUUAUAUUUAAGUAUCAUUCCACCACCUAUUCUUAAACACACACACAUACAUAAUUAAAUAGAUUAUUGAUAUUGAGCUUUUGAUGCUGUCUCCUAACCAAGGAUUUAUGGAAUAACUAUUUCAAUUUGCCUAUUUCUUGUUUCUGUUUCUUUAAUGAGCUUUUGAUUUUUUGUAUCUAAUAUUUAAAAAUAGGGUUAGUUUAUUGUUGAUUAUAGUUUAGUUUUUACUUUUUAGUUAUUACUUUGUUCUGGCACCUGAAGAGGGAUAGGAAUAAAAUAAACAAUAAACUAUAAACCAUGGAUAAAAUAAGCAAUCAAAAACAGAGGACUGGUUUUUAUUGGGAUCAUGAGUAAGUGGGUUAGUUUCUCACCAUUUGCAAUUCCAAUACUGCUCAAAUCCAAUGUUACAGGUACUUCAUCAUCAUCAUUUCAUCAUCAAUGUAAACUCAGUAACUAAAAACAAUAUUUACAAACUAAGUAAAUCAAUGUUAAAGAUGAUAGCUUUAUCAUGGAAAUACAAACUUCAACUAAACAGUUCAUUUAUUAAAAUACAGAAAACAUUAAGUGUUAUUAAAACAGGAUAUAGUCAAGUGUAUACUGUAAAAGUGGAUAGCACAUUUUGUUGUUUUAUACUGUUAAUAGUUUAUUAAGUGGUAUUCAUCCUUGUAAAUGGCAAAUUGUUGAAAAAUUCACAGAACUAAUUUAUAUAUUCAAUAAAUAGAAAGGGAUCUUUACAAAAGUCUACAGUUACUGUACCACAGAAAAGUCUACUUCAUUUUCAGUUUAACAUGAAAACCAAGAAUGUCAAUCACAAAAAAUUAUUCAUAUAUUGCACUCAAUCAAAAUAUGAAUACCUCAUUAAUAUUCUGCUAAAAUAUUUUAAUACAUUGUGCUUUUCCAAAGUUAUGAGAAACAUUUUAUUACUAUCAAUCUACUGUGCAUAUGAAUUUCAUAUUUUCUGGGUUUUCACUCUUUCAAUUUUGAUUAUGCAUAAAUGUAAAUAACUAUGCAUAUGCACAAUACAUUUAUAUAUGAAUCAUUACCAUGUAGAAUAGAUAGCUGCACAUAUGCUUGUUCAAAAACAUUUGAGCAACUUAACUUCAUACAUUUUUUAUUCCAUCAUCUUGGGGAAAUUCUAAAUUAUUUGAAUGUAUAAAAAAAGUUGUUUUUACUCAAACAAAAAUGUUUUCUAGAGUCCUAAAACUUUAGUACUAUAAAUAUUUUACUUCCAUCUUUUGGAAUUUUAAAUAAUGAACUAUAAAUUCAAAUAGCUUUCAUUUACAAUGGCUGUAUAAUCCUGCACAGAAACUAAUUAUUCAAAAUCAAUAUUUAAUACAAUGCUAGUAAACCAUAAAAUAUGUAGAAAAUUGUGUAAGGAUGAAUUAAUACUGUUAUAAUAAACAUCCCAGAGAUUUCAUAAAAUUAGUUAGGUUUUGUCCAUUUUAAAUUUCAGAUAUUUCAGAAAAUGGAGUUUCCAAAAAUGUCAAAUACAAACAAUUGGGAAAAAAAAGCUACUACUUAUUAAAAAAUUGGGUCUCUGGAAAUUUGAAGUCUCUCUUUGAAUACAAAUAGAAUUUCUAACUACAUGGUACAGUUAAUAUAAAAACAGUCUAUCAAGCUGCUUCUUGCUUAAAAACAGAAGUAUAAAAUAUUUUGUUAGAAAGUGUUUUGGUUGAAAAGCAACACUGCAAAAAGCAGUGGGUGGAAGGAAUAAAAAUAACCAGUGUUACUCUUGCAGAAGGAUUCAAAGAUUCAUGAACAUGUAGAAAGCACUAGAAUGUGAUGCCAAUGUUCAUAUACACUUUUUAAUCCCCCAGAAGUUGUUAUAAACUAAUUAAUUAGCUGAAACCAGAGGGGAAGGAGGGUUCAAAUUUGGUGAAAUUAUCAAUAUGGCUAUGCAAAAAUAAAAAUGCCAGGUUGUAUUUUAAGAAGUUAAAACAAAGUCUUUUCCUUCCAAAAUAUUGUAUCAUCUGUUAAUCGUCAUGACCUAUUUCUCAUAUAGUGUAAAGCUUAUGAUUUAAAUAAGCGGUGAAAUCCACUUACCUUUGCUACUGGUUUGGGAACGGGCAGGAGCACGCGCAUACCUCUUCUGCGUAUGUGCAGAACCUUCUGCGCAUGUGUAGAUGGUAAAAAAGGAGGAGUAAUGACAUCCCAGCAGGUGGGUGGAGCCUCCCACCACUGGCACUACCAGUUUGGCAAGCCGGAUAGAACCAGGGGGAUUUCACCACUGAUUUAAAUGUGAUGCAAUUUUAAAACCAGUUUGAUGAAAGUAAGGAGUAAAAUCAAAAAUAAUUCACACUACUUUUCCAUUUAAAAAUGCUAAAAUAUUUUAGAUUAAUAUCUCUGUUCAAUUUCAGAAGAAAAUAUUGUACUAUUGUUUCUUGUGUUGGUUUACAGACUCUUAACGCCAAAAAUUUUGUUUCCUCCAGACCUUCGUUGACUCUUGCUCAUUAUUGUUUUAUUACUGGUGUUGCUGCUACUUUUUGAUGAAAUAGAGUGACUUGUAGUAGAAGUAGCUCUAGAGUAAAAACCUUCAUCAACUUCAGAUACUUCUAUUAAUUCUUCUUCUGGAAUUCCUAAUUCGUUACCUGCAUGGAGACAGAACACUGUAUAUAUUUCAUUGGUUCUUGAUAGAUCUUUCUAUUCAAGCACAAAGCAAAAGAUUUAAGAGCAGACAAGAAGCUCAUCUAUUAUAUCAAUAUAAUAUAAUAUAUUACAAUAAAAUAAAUAAACAGAAAGCAUGCUUA